rnacentral:rRNA from 1 species
CACCGCGGUUAUACAAGAGACUCAAGUUGAUGACAGACGGCGUAAAGAGUGGUUAAGAAAAUCCCAAACUAAAGCCAAAUUUUCUCCUCGCUGUUAUACGCACCCGAGACAUAAGAAGUACUAUCACGAAAGUAGCUUUAUAUAAUCUGACCCCACGAAAGCUAUGGUA